GCAGUAUACUUCACAUCAAGUGUCUUGCUUGCCAAAUAUUAAAUAGAAUUCCAACUGGAAAAAGAUGACAAAAUGGAGUAUGGGAUGUAAACUCAAAACUGGGAGCUGCUGUUUUAUAUACUGGAAUUGGAGAAACAACAGUGAACAGAUUUUUGGCAGCACUGAACUUGCCCAAUAUUGACCUUAAAACAUUAAAGAAAAGAGAGAGAGAGACUGGUGUAGCAUUUGAAGAAGUAGCGGAAAUAACAUGUCAGGAAGCAAUUGAAAAAGAGAAAGACAGCUGUAAAGAACAAGAAACCGUUUCAUAGGAUGCAGGUUGGCAAACAAAGGGAAGUGGAAGAAACUAUGCCAGCUUAUCAAGACAUGGAAGGAU